GACGCACUGUCCUAUCGUUGUUCGGAAUCACUGGGCUUAAAGGGCGCGUAGGCGGUCAGACAAGUCAGGGGUGAAAUCCUGCAGCUUAACUGCAGAAGUGCCUUUGAUACUGUCGGUCUUGAGGGAGAUAGGGGUGUGCGGAACUCACAGUGGAGCGGUGAAAUGCGUUGAUAUUGUGAGGAACGCCGGAGGCGAAAGCGGCGCACUGGACCUCUUCUGACGCCGAGGCGCGAAAGCUAGGGGAGCAAACGGG
rnacentral:rRNA from 1 species